rnacentral:rRNA from 2 species
CGGAUUAUUGGGCGUAAGCGCGCGCAGGCGGUUUCUUAAGUCUGAUGUGAAAGCCCACGCCUCAACCGUGGAGGGUCAUUGGAAACUGGGGAACUUGAGUGCAGAAGAGAAAAGCGGAAUUCCACGUGUAGCGGUGAAAUGCGUAGAGAUGUGGAGGAACACCAGUGGCGAAGGCGGCUUUUUGGUCUGUAACUGACGCUGAGGCGCGAAAGCGUGGGGAGCAAACAGGAUUAGAUACCCUGGUAGUCCACGCCGUAAACGAUGAGUGCUAAGUGUUAGAGGGUUUCCGCCCUUUAGUGCUGCAGCUAACGCAUUAAGCACUCCGCCUGGGGAGUACGGUCGCAAGACUGAAACUCAAAGGAAUUGACGGGGGCCCGCACAAGCGGUGGAGCAUGUGGUUUAAUUUGAAUCAACGCGAAGAACCUUACCAG